rnacentral:tmRNA from 1 species
GGGCUUGUACUGGUUUCGACGGGGGUUUUGAAGUUUGGGAAGCCAUCCGCGGACUCCGGAACCGCGUACCAAUCUGGAACUUAAAAUUAAACGCAGAUAAUAAUGAAUUAGCGUACGCUGCCUAAUGGCAGCUGUCGGAGCGUGAGAAUCCCGCGGCUCAUUCUCCGGCAUCAAAAACCAGCGGGGCACUUCAUUUCCUAAGCUUUGCGGAAAUGGAAGAAUUUAUGAAGCUACUGAUGUGCCAAGCCUGUCAUCCGGCGUGACACAGAGGGAAUGCCAAAAGAAUGACUGUGAUGGGAGAUGCCUGAAUGGAUAGGCUUUCGGACGCGGGUUCGAUUCCCGCCAGGUCCAU